rnacentral:rRNA from 1 species
AGGAUGAACGCUGGCGGCGUGCCUAAUACAUGCAAGUAGAACGCUGAAGCUUGGUGCUUGCACCGAGCGGAUGAGUUGCGAACGGGUGAGUAACGCGUAGGUAACCUGCCUCUUAGCGGGGGAUAACUAUUGGAAACGAUAGCUAAUACCGCAUAAAAGACGAUAUCGCAUGAUAUUGAUUUGAAAGGUGCAAAUGCAUCACUAAGAGAUGGACCUGCGUUGUAUUAGCUAGUUGGUGAGGUAACGGCUCACCAAGGCAACGAUACAUAGCCGACCUGAGAGGGUGAUCGGCCACACUGGGACUGAGACACGGCCCAGACUCCUACGGGAGGCAGCAGUAGGGAAUCUUCGGCAAGUGGGGCAACCCGUGACCGAGCAACGCCGCGUGAGUGAAGAAGGUUCUCGGAUCGUAAGCUCUGUUGUAAGAGAAGAACGAGUGUGAGAGUAGGAAGUUCACACUGUAGACGGUAACGUUAACCGGAAAGGACGGACUAACG